CUGAGGGCAGCAACUUUACCCUCAAAAACUAACAUGGUGGAGUGACAUAAGAAUGUUCACCCCGGCCUACGAAGAAGGCUGAGGCAGUUCUGGAGAGGACCUGGACAGAGAACCCGGCAGAAAGCAGCAAUUCCAACGGGGGCUCUAUUCUGAUGGUAUUGACUUCGGGAAGCGGGAAUGCCAAUAUCAUUUUAAAGCAAUCGAGAGGUCAGUCUUCAUUCAUGAGCUCAUGUCAGAGGAGAAUGAUUGCGUUUAAGAGACACUGUUCUCACGUCCUUUCAGUCCUGUGACUAGUUUUGUCCUUUGAGAGGGCCAGGAGUAAUCGCUUGGCCUUACUUACUCCAGCCUGUUUGUAAAAGCUUUUCCAGACCGUGACUGCCGCUCUUCUUUACGUAUGCUUUCUAGACAGAACUU